AAGAAUAUGGUGCAGUGCUUUUGGCCAGCACCAACCGAUCAGAUCCAGAAGCUUCUCACGGCAUUGCCCAUUAUGAUCAGUGGGAUCUGCGCCACCUUGUUUGCAGUUUUCCCCACCAAACGCCAUGGAAUCGGAUUCCCCCUAUCUGCAAAUUGAAAUGUUGUGAAGUUCAAUUAGAUGGUAUUCAUGUUUGGUGUAUAAAUAAAUCUGCUGUAAAAUAUUUGUAGUGUUUUCUUCUUGGUUCACUUUGGUGUAUAAAUAAAAUGAUCACUAAGGCUCUCCCCUGGCGUUAAUCAUAAUACAAUCAAAAUAAAGUUGAUAACUUUUACUCUUUCAUGCACAUUGUGAAAAUUUGAAAGCUAGUGGAGACCACAGCUCAAUGCGAGUAUGUACUGAACUAUACCAAAAGGUUAUAAGCAUCGAGAGCCCAGGUCAAGGAACAAAGUAGCUCGACCAAUAAGGAGAGGAGCCUAAUACCCAAUUCCUUCAUAUACCUAUAUAGCUGGAUGAAAAUUGUACAAUCUAAGCUCGAUUGUGUUUGAAAGACAAAUUGUUUAGGUCUAUACACAGUUUUACAAUCCAAACUCAUUGUGUACUACUCUAAUCCAGUUUGAAAGAAUAAAAUUACAGAGAAUGUAAGCUUCUUAUGGUUAAGACCAUAUACAAUCAAGCCACCAACACAUUGCUGCUCAGUUAACCAUUUUUAGUAGUCUAACCUGGAUUUUUAAUAGUUUAGCUUGCAAUUCAAUACUUGUUUGGAUCUUUAAUACAGGGACUGAAUCAGCAAGACUAAAACUUCAAUUUGAAAACAAGUUUAACAAAAUUAAGGCAACUUGAAUACACUAUGUGCAAUUGAAUCAGUACGGCUUCUCGAUAACCGGGAAGAAGGGUAAUCAAGAAGUUGAUUCAGAAGAAAUGAUCUUCUCCCAGUGGAUUGAACAUUCCAUUUCGCCCACUCAAGAUAACGAACCAGCCAUUCACUUACAAAAUAUCUUGUCACCAAAAACAAAUAAUUCUAAACUAUUCCCCCUGCCCCACGUCAUACGCAAUACAGCACAAGAGUGAAGCAAGUGUCCUACUUAAGAAGGUUUACGGAUCUACUGCAAGGAAUCCCCUACCCAAAAAGGUGGCCAGCCGCCAGCCCAACGUUAUAAAUAUCCCCAAGAACGUCAACCAAGACACACUUACAAUAAUGGAAACAUUGGGGUCAGCAGGUAAUACAAUGGAGAUAAAAGUAGUAGAGAAAGAAGAAAGAACUACCUCCAGCUGCAAUGACAGCAACAACAGUAAAAGCCUCCUCACAGCAGUCCCCAACAGCAAAAGCAAAACAGCGAUUCAGCAAGCUAUCAACCAGACGUUCAAGAGCACAGCUCACCUGGCCAACCUUUUGCCAACUGGGACGGUUCUGGCGUUCCACCUUCUGGCACCUGUGUUCUCCAACGAGGGCAAAUGUGUUUCCACCGGAAGGUACAUGACCAUGGG
rnacentral:lncRNA from 1 species